ACCUUCCUUGUCUUGGGGUUGCGUGGCUGUUCAAUGAACGUCUAGUGAGAGCAGCCCUGCUAACACCAUACCAACACAUUCGCAUCACCCAAGCACUAGCUUGGGCUAUGGUGCAAUUUUUGGAACC